GCCGGGCAAGGUGGCUCAUGCCUGUAAUCUUAGCACUUUGGGAGGCUGAGGUGGGUGGAUCACUUGAGGUCAGGAGUUCAAGACCAGCCUGGCCAACAUGGCAAAACCCCGUCUCUACUAAAAAUACAAAAAUUAGCUGGGUGUAGUGGCGGGUGCCUGUAAUCCCAGCUACUCAGGAGGCUGAGGCAGGAGAAUCGCUUGAACCCAGGAGGCAGAGGUUGCAUGAGCUGAGAUUGUGCCACUGUACUCCAGCCUGGGCAACAGAGUGAGACUCAUCUCA
rnacentral:sRNA from 1 species